rnacentral:rRNA from 1 species
GACGAACGCUGGCGGCGUGCUUAACACAUGCAAGUCGAACGGAAAGGCCUCUUUCGGGGGGUACUCGCGUGGCGAACGGGUGAGUAACACGUGAGUAACCUGCCCUUUACUUUGGGAUAACUUCAGGAAACUGGGGCUAAUACCGGAUAGGAGCUCCUGCUGCAUGUUGGGGGUUGGAAAGUUUCGGCGGUUGGGGAUGGACUCGCGGCUUAUCAGCUUGUUGGUGGGGUAGUGGCUUACCAAGGCUUUGACGGGUAGCCGGCCUGAGAGGGUGACCGGCCACAUUGGGACUGAGAUAAGGCCCAGACUCCUACGGGGGGCAGCAGUGGGGAAUAUUGCACAAUGGGUGGAAGCCUGAUGCAGCAAAGCCGUGUGCGGGAUGAAGGCCUUCGGGUUGUAAACCGCUUUCGCUCAUGACGAAGCUUUGUGUGACGGUAGUGGGUAAAGAAGCACCGGCUAACUACGUG